UGGUUUUAUCUGAAGUCAAACUUUCUUAAGUUUGACCAAAUUUAUAUAAAAGAUUAUUAAUUUUUAUGAUACCAAAUAAACAUACUAUAAAAAUAUAUUUUAUUAUGAAUCUAAUGAUACUUAUUUGGUUUCAUAAAAAAUAGUAAUUUUUUGUAUAACUUUGGUCAAACUUAAGAAAGUUUGACUUCAGACAAAACUAA
rnacentral:pre_miRNA from 1 species